rnacentral:rRNA from 1 species
GAUGAACGCUGGCGGCGUGCUUAACACAUGCAAGUCGAACGGAAAGGCCCCUGCUUGCAGGGGUACUCGAGUGGCGAACGGGUGAGUAACACGUGGGUGAUCUGCCCUGCACUUCGGGAUAAGCUCGGGAAACUGGGUCUAAUACCGGAUAGGACGAUGGUCUGGAUGCCAUUGUGGAAAGUUUUUCGGUGUGGGAUGAGCUCGCGGCCUAUCAGCUUGUUGGUGGGGUAAUGGCCUACCAAGGCGUCGACGGGUAGCCGGCCUGAGAGGGUGUACGGCCACAUUGGGAAUGAGAUACGGCCCAGACUCCUACGGGAGGCAGCAGUGGGGAAUAUUGCACAAUGGGCGGAAGCCUGAUGCAGCAACGCCGCGUGGGGGAUGACGGCCUUCGGGUUGUAAACUCCUUUCGCUAGGGACGAAGCGCAAGUGACGGUACCUGGAAAAGAAGCACCGGCUAACUACGU